ACUCAAAUGAAUAGACGGGGGCCCGCACAAGCGGUGGAGCAUGUGGAUUAAUACGUCACUAACCGUAGAACCUUACCCAGGCUUGACAUCCUAAGAACUCUCCCGAAAAGGAGGGGUGCCUCGCAAGAGGAGCUUAGAGACAGGUGUUGCAUGGCUGUCGUCAGCUCGUGUCGUGAGAUGUUGGGUUAAGUCCCGCAACGAGCGCAACCCUCACUGCCUGUUGCCAGCAUUCAGUUGGGCACUCUGGCGGAACUGCCCGGGUAACCGGGAGGAAGGUGGGGACGACGUCAAGUCAGCAUGGCCCGUACGCCUGGGGCUUCACACAUGCUACAAUGGCCGGUACAAAGGGUCCCGAAGCCGUGAGGUGGAGGCAAUCCCAAAAAGCCGGUCUCAGUUCGGAUCGCAGGCUGCAACUCGCCUGCGUGAAGUCGGAAUCGCUAGUAACCGCCGGUCAGCUAAACGGCGGUGAAUACGUUCCCGGGCCUUGUACACACCGCCCGU
rnacentral:rRNA from 1 species